AACUUUUGACAAUGGAUCUCUUGGUUCUGGCAACGAUGAAGAACGCAGCGGAAUGCGAUAAGUAAUGUGAAUUGCAGAAUUCAGUGAAUCAUCGAAUCUUUGAACGCACAUUGCGCCCCCUGGUAUUCCGGGGGGCACACCUGUUCGAGCGCCAUUUCUACCCUGGAGCCCUGCUCUGUGAUGGGCCCCGUCCUCGCGGACGGGUCCGAAACCCGUGGGCGCCGUCGUCCGGUCCCGAGCGUAGCAAGAGAAAUCCCUCGCUCGGAGCGCCAGGCGGUGGCCGCCCCGACCCAUUUUUACAAGGUUGGCCUCGGAUCAGGUGGGGAUACCCGCUGAACUUAAGCAUAUCAAUAAGCGGAGGC
rnacentral:misc_RNA from 1 species